GUGCUCACUUUAGCAGCACAUAUACUAAAAUUGGAAUGAUAUAGAGAAGAUUAGUGUGGCCACUGAGUGAGAGAUACGCUGGGAAGGAGGACACAGUCCCUGACUGU
rnacentral:snRNA from 1 species